GCACCGGUGCGACCAAAUAUUUUUUUUUAGUCGCACCACUGAAAAAUUUGGUCGCACUCUAGAGCCCUGUGAACGCUGAUGAGAAAUUAGCAAACAGAAGUCUGGCGGAGGCGGAGUCCAAGAUGAAGAUUGUUGCAUCAUCGACACCUCUGCGUGCACAGUAAGCAAACUGGAGUGGGUCCAUCAGGGGGUCAGUUGCUCUUACGAUGUGCUGUUUUAUGAUCUUCUCCAUGGCCUUCAUCACCAGGGAGGUGAGGGCCAAAGGACGAAGAUCAUUCAGAGACUUUGGGUUGUUUCAUUUGGGGAUGGGGAUGACUGUGGAGUGUUUCCACAGCUGGGGGACGGUGCGACUGUCAGUGUUGAAAUAGAGUCCGGAUCACACUUCCUAGUUGCCCUGCACAGUGCCUCAGAACUCGAUUGCUGAUGUUGUCAGGGCCGGGUGAGCUCCUCUCCCUGGUCCUCCUGAGGGCUCUCACCACGUCCUCAGUCCUGAAGGUGAGUGCAGAGCUGCCAGGUUUGAGUGAGGAUCUGGACUCCUCAAGCUGGGUGAUGUUGUCCGUCUCAAACCUGGUGUAGAAAGCGCUGAGGUUGUCAGGGAGGGAGGAGGGGUUGCUGCCCUCCACCCGGGUGGUUUCUGGUGACCGCAGUAUUCACAGAGGCCAUGGUUUUGAAGCUCUGCCAGGCUGAGUGGAGGUCCCCUGUGGUGAAUUUUUUUUCAACUGUGUUUUUAUACUCCAGUUUAGCAGUUUUUAUGGCCCUCUUCACCUCCCUGUUGACCUCCUUUUUGUCCAGUGCAGAGCCGGUGAAGAAAAUCCUCUUUUUUUCCCCCCUUGAGUUCCUUGGUGAUUCAGGGUUUGUUGUUGGGGUAGAUGGAGACUGUUUUUGAGGGGAUGUCGUCGUCAACAUAGAAGGAGAUGUAUGAUGUCCCUGUGUUGACUUGUUCGUGGAUGUCAUCAGAGGGAGAAAGAAGGCUGUCCCAGUCAGUGGCUUUGAAACAUCCUUGCAGGGUGAGGAUACUUUCCUCUGUCCGCUGCUUGAUGUUUUUGGUGACCUUUUUAAUCCUCUUUGUCACGGACCAGGUUCCAGGGACUCGGGGUCCUUGAGCAGUGUGGACUAUUAUUAUUGUUAUUAUUAUUAUUUUUAUUAUUUGAGGGUUGUGUCUUCUGUACUGCUGCUGUCCUGUGUUUCUUGUUUGUGUAUUGGCAGGUGUGUAUGGGUGUGUGCGUGUGUGUGAGGGUGCGGUCGUGACAGGCACCUUCAGACCUGGUGGGUGUGGCCCUGCCAGCUGACCGGUCACACCCAAGGAUCGUUACACACAGCUGGCGCAGAUCAAGCCUCAUCGGAGGAGCUACUUUAGAGUGUGUUGGAGCUCUCUCCGACGCUGGAUCGUUGAGUGACUGCCCGUCAGUCUAAUCAACAGGAGUGCGGGAACGGGAGGGCAGUGAGCACACGUAUCACGGGAGUGGAGACACGGAGCACGAGCACUGAGAAGAAGACAUGGCAUGGGAGUUGGAAACGCACGGGGAUUUAUUGUUGUGUACUAUUUACUUCACUUUAAAUAAAUGCACUGCAUUCAUCGCACAGAGUCCUGCACUUUGGGUCCUCCUUCCCCACACAGCCACGGUCUGCCAUGCGGACCGCGACACUCUUGAUGACUGGGGUGUAAGCAGGGGCCAGCAGGAUGCUGUGGUGGUCUGCUGAGCCGAGAGGGGGGAGGGGCAGGGCUUUAAAUGCAUCUGGUACAGAGCCAUAGCAUUUAUCCAGAGUCUUCCCCUGACAUGUGCUGCAUGUAACAUACUGUUGGUAUCCUUUAAGUGACUUGUCAGGGGAACAGUGGUUGAAAUCACCCAGGAUGAACUUGGGAGAGUCUGGUGAUAAUUGUUCCAG